CCAUUAUUUCUCUUAUCAUUUAGCUCUCGAGUGGACUCGAAAUAUAUCAGAAUGUUAAGGACUACAAGGCUGACCGGGCCAAGGAAGCUGAAGCACUCAAGACAUUGCCGAUCUCUGAUAAAUACAAAGAAGCUGUACUCAAAUUGAGUGUGGUUGCCAUAGCAUUUACCGUCGUUACAGUGUUAGUCAAUGUCUCGCUGUUGAUUUCUUACGGCACGUUGAACAGAUAUCUGGCAUAUCCUUGGUUUUUCUGGCAAAUCUUUUCGCUUUGCUACAGCUUCGGAGUGACCAUUUUUCUCAUCGCUAUUUGGGACGGGUUCACGAUAUUUUUCGCUGUUGAGAUCUUGGGAUGGCUGUUAAUGGUCUACUUUGUUGUUGUGGUGUACUCAUACAUCGAGACUCUUCGCCUGGAUCCUUCAGCGUUUCAAAUGGGUGGAUACGUGGGAACUCAAAUGCAGCCCCCUCCAUACGUUAAAUUUGGUUGAUCCACAAGAUACAGUCUUCGACAAACGCAUGUGCCCGUAGUUAUAACUUUGAUUAUUUUUAGGGACAACGAGGCCCGAUAUAAAUGAAGCUAAUUCAAAUGUACAAGUAAGGGCUGUAUAUAUAAACAAAAAUAAGAUAAAGAGAACGUUGUCAUAUGUAAGUUAGGCUUCUCUUAACCGAAAACUAAAAACUAUUCAGCGUUUGGAAUAGGUAUCUUCAUGCAUUAAAAAUGAGAAUAAAAUAAAAAAACACGCGUGUA